AUUGAACGCUGGCGGCAGGCCUAACACAUGCAAGUCGAACGAGCGGCGGACGGGUGAGUAAUGUCUGGGAAACUGCCUGAUGGAGGGGGAUAACUACUGGAAACGGUAGCUAAUACCGCAUACCAUCAGAUGUGCCCUGAUUGGAUUAUCUAGUUGGUGGGGUAACGGCCCACCAGGGCGACGAUCACUAGCUGGUCUGAGAGGAUGACCAGCCACACUGGAACUGAGACACGGUACAGACUCCUACGGAAGGCAGCAGUGGGGAAUAUUGGACAAUGGGCGAAAGCCUGAUGCAGCCAUGCCGCGUGUGUGAAGAAGGCCUUCGGGUUGUAAAGUACUUUCAGCGGGGAGGCGUUACCCGCAGAAGAAGCACCGGCUAACUCCGUGCCAGCCGCCGCGGUAAUAC
rnacentral:rRNA from 1 species